GGGUACUUAUUCUAUCGAUAUAUAAGAGUUGUGUCAUCGCUAAGACAAACGUUUAAUUUCUACGAAUAAUUGAGAUGUAUUCAAAACAAAGGCCGCCUGGCAGUCAACUCGCAGCACACGCGCCAAAGCUCCAACGGCUCCGGUCAUGAAAAAAAUGCAUGCGCUCGCUGACCGUAAUUCUAAGGUACCGGCAGCUGCGUACGUAUGGGAGACUUGCUCCUGGAGAUCUUACACACUGGGUGCGCGGGAGGGACCUCUUUAGCAGCACAUUCCUCGUCUUGCUGGGGAAAAUGCGAGGCUUGAGACUCGCCGUCGAUAAAAAGCACCAGGUCAUCCACAUACUGAUGAAUCCCUGUAGCCUCUAGUUACUCUGCCCUUCUGUCUGAGAAGAAGCUCUGCCACAAGCUCAACUUUCGGCAUUUCAAGUCAGCAAUUCGGCGCACUGUCGAACGCUCCUUUGAAGUCGGCGAAGAUUCCGACCACGUAUCUUGCCUGCAUGCCGGCGACACUGCUCUUCACAUGAUUCCAGCCAUCAUCGACACAUCAUCCUUGGCGGAAUCCAAACGGCCAUCUGCUUCCUUCCGAAAAAACUUUUCUCACACGAUCUCUUUGUCCCAUUCUUCUUCCAAGCGAAAGGUCACGCAUAUCAUGUACCAUGCUACGCAGGGUCGAAACUAGAUGGUCCAACGACGACUGUGAGACGUCUUCCGGAAAAUGGGCUGCGAGCAUUGGAGAUGUUUCAUGCGAUGGUCAUGCGACGGUUCUUUUGGUCAAAAUCAGCAAUUUCGGAACAAACUUCGACAACACACGACUCAUGCCCAAAACGUUUGAAAAAAUUUCAUGGCAUGAGCCAAGCGAUAUACCGGCAUCUUUAUCAACUCCUGAUAGUGAUUCGACGAUGAUUUUACAAAACAAUUUUCUUCACUUCUUGAACGUUUUCAACAGUAGUUGACGUGCUUGGGCGUCAAGAGCGAGGCUCGUCAUUGGCAUCUUCCCGGCCAUCUUGGAAGAGUUUUUAUCACUUUUAAACAUUCUUUUUUACUCAGAAAAGUUUCACCCUACGCCAUUGUCAACAUUUCAAGUGCUUCGGAGCACUUAAUUUUAUUUUUUACACAAAAUUGUAUGCAAAUCAUUUGAUCCAUAUUCCUUGAUUCCAAAAAAUCGCCGAGCACGCCGAGCAAAACAACUUGUAACAACUUGCGAUUCAAUUGAAACUUGGUACAGAUGUUAGGGAAGAGUGUACCAACUUAAAACAAAAAUAUCUAUAAUCAAAAAUAUUUUUCCCGCGAAAUUUGAAAAGCCAUCUUACGUUAUGAACACACCUCGUAAAUCUCAAAAAUCGCAAACCAAUUUAUUAGAAUACAAAAUCUAAAAAAAAAAUCACAAACUUCUAUCUUGAAAAAUACCAAAGUUAGUAUUUUUACCAAAUACCACUUCAGAUCGUUCAGUUAUAUGGUAGCUAUAAGAUAUAGUCGGCCGAUCGUUGUGAAAUUAGGAAGGAUGAAAUUAGGAUCAA